GUACACGCUGUGACUAGCAUAUCAAUAAGCGGAGGAAAAGAAACUAACAAGGAUUCCCCUAGUAACGGCGAGUGAAGCGGGAAGAGCUCAAAUUUGAAAUCUUAAAGGGUUUCCCUUUACGAAUUGUAGUUUAAGGAAGUGUUUUCUGUUGAGGUUUUGGUAAAAGUUCUUUGGAAUAGGACAUCAUAGAGGGUGAGAAUCCCGUAUUUGACCUUUACUUUCAACUUUGUGAUACACUUUCAAAGAGUCGGAUUGUUUGGGAAUGCAGUCCAAAAUGGGUGGUAAAUUUCAUCUAAAGCUAAAUAUUGGCGAGAGACCGAUAGCGAACAAGUACCGUGAGGGAAAGAUGAAAAGAACUUUGAAAAGAGAGUUAAACAGUACGUGAAAUUGUCAAAAGGGAAGCGUUUGACACCAGUGUUGUUUUUCUGAAAAUCAAUUAAAGAACUGUUUAUGCUAAGUUGUUUAGACUUUAUCAGCUAACUGUUUAGUUUUGAGCUUUUCUUUAAUGCACUUUUCAGUUAACAAGUCAACAUCAAUUUCUUUUGCUGUAAAAAAGCUUGAGGAAGGUGGCUUGAGAUUCGUCUUAAGUGUUUAUAGCCUCUUGCCUAUGCAGUCGGAGAGAUUGAGGUCUGCAGCGUAGAUCCUUCGGGGCUAAAUGCAUUUGUGCUAAGUUAUAGCAUUUUAUAGACAACUUGUUGACUAUGAUUUGUCUUGUAGCUUACUCGCUUAUGUUAUUUUACCUACGCUUAGGAUGUUGACGCGCGUGUGUGCGUG
rnacentral:rRNA from 1 species